rnacentral:rRNA from 1 species
UAUAGAUGGAUCCGCGCUGCAUUAGCUAGUUGGUAAGGUAACGGCUUACCAAGGCAACGAUGCAUAGCCGACCUGAGAGGGUGAUCGGCCACACUGGAACUGAGACACGGUCCAGACUCCUACGGGAGGCAGCAGUAGGGAAUCUUCCGCAAUGGGCGAAAGCCUGACGGAGCAACGCCGCGUGAGUGAUGAAGGUCUUCGGAUCGUAAAACUCUGUUAUUAGGGAAGAACAUAUGUGUAAGUAACUGUGCACAUCUUGACGGUACCUAAUCAGAAAGCCACGGCUAACUACGUGCCAGCAGCCGCGGUAAUACGUAGGUGGCAAGCGUUAUCCGGAAUUAUUGGGCGUAAAGCGCGCGUAGGCGGUUUUUUAAGUCUGAUGUGAAAGCCCACGGCUCAACCGUGGAGGGUCAUUGGAAACUGGAAAACUUGAGUGCAGAAGAGGAAAGUGGAAUUCCAUGUGUAGCGGUGAAAUGCGCAGAGAUAUGGAGGAACACCAGUGGCGAAGGCGACUUUCUGGUCUGUAACUGACGCUGAUGUGCGAAAGCGUGGGGAUCAAACAGGAUUAGAUACCCUGGUAGUCCACGCCGUAAACGAUGAGUGCUAAGUGUUAGGGGGUUUCCGCCCCUUAGUGCUGCAGCUAACGCAUUAAGCACUCCGCCUGGGGAGUACGACCGCAAGGUUGAAACUCAAAGGAAUUGACGGGGACCCGCACAAGCGGUGGAGCAUGUGGUUUAAUUCGAAGCAACGCGAAGAACCUUACCAAAUCUUGACAUCCUUUGACAACUCUAGAGAUAGAGCCUUCCCCUUCGGGGGACAAAGUGACAGGUGGUGCAUGGUUGUCGUCAGCUCGUGUCGUGAGAUGUUGGGUUAAGUCCCGCAACGAGCGCAACCCUUAAGCUUAGUUGCCAUCAUUAAGUUGGGCACUCUAAGUUGACUGCCGGUGACAAACCGGAGGAAGGUGGGGAUGACGUCAAAUCAUCAUGCCCCUUAUGAUUUGGGCUACACACGUGCUACAAUGGACAAUACAAAGGGCAGCGAAACCGCGAGGUCAAGCAAAUCCCAUAAAGUUGUUCUCAGUUCGGAUUGUAGUCUGCAACUCGACUACAUGAAGCUGGAAUCGCUAGUAAUCGUAGAUCAGCAUGCUACGGUGAAUACGUUCCCGGGUCUUGUACACACCGCCCGUCACACCACGAGAGUUUGUAACACCCGAAGCCGGUGGAGUAACCUUUUAGGAGCUAGCCGUCGAAGGUGGGACAAAUGAUUGGGGUGAAGUCGUAACAAGGUAGCCGUAUCGGAAGGUGCGGCUGGAUCACCUCCUUUCUAAG